CUAACAGAUGGGAUUACAGGGCAAGUUUUUUUAAAUUUAAUAAUUGAAGUUAUUUUAAUUUGUGAAGAAACAAUUAUAUAAAUUAAAGACAAGAAGACCCUAAGAAUUUAAGAAUUUUUAUUAAUAUAUUAUAUGUAUAUAUAUAAAUAAAAUUCUUAGUUGGGGCAACUAAAAAAUAUAUUAAACUUUUUUUUUAAAAAAAUGACCCAUUAUUAAUG
rnacentral:rRNA from 1 species